ACGCCGCGUGAGUGAUGAAGGCUUUCGGGUCGUAAAGCUCUGUCAAGGGGAAAGAAGUGUAUUGUGGUUAAUACCCGCGAUACUUGACGGUACCCCUAAAGGAAGCACCGGCUAACUCCGUGCCAGCAGCCGCGGUAAUACGGAGGGUGCGAGCGUUGUUCGGAAUUAUUGGGCGUAAAGCGCGUGUAGGCGGUUUGUUAAGUCUGAUGUGAAAGCCCCGGGCUCAACCUGGGAAGUGCAUUGGAUACUGGCAGACUUGAAUACGGGAGAGGGCAGUGGAAUUCCUGGUGUAGGAGUGAAAUCCGUAAAUAUCAGGAGGAACACCGGUGGCAAAGGCGGCUGCCUGGACCGAUAUUGACGCUAAGACGCGAAAGCGUGGGUAGCAAACAGGAUUAGAUACCCUGGUAGUCCACGCCGUAAACGAUGAGUACUAGGUGUUGCGGGUAUUGACCCCUGCAGUGCCGCAGCUAACGCAUUAAGUACUCCGCCUGGGACGUACGGUCGCAAGAC
rnacentral:rRNA from 1 species